rnacentral:rRNA from 1 species
UACGUAGGUGACCAGCGUUGUCCGGAUUUACUGGGCGUAAAGAGCGCGCAGGCGGUCGUUCAGUCGAGUGUGAAGACCCCCCGGCUCAACUGGGGAGGGUCACUCGAUACUGAUCGACUUGAAGGCAGGAGAGGGAAGCGGAAUUCCCGGUGUAGUGGUGAAAUGCGUAGAUAUCGGGAGGAACACCAGUGGCGAAGGCGGCUUGCUGGGCCGCCCUUGACGCUGAGACGACGAAAGCGUGGG